UACGGAGGGUGCAAGCGUUAAUCGGAAUUACUGGGCGUAAAGCGUGCGCAGGCGGUUUGUUAAGUCCGUUGUGAAAUCCCCGGGCUCAACCUGGGAAUGGCGAUGGAUACUGGCGAGCUAGAGUGUGUCAGAGGAUGGUGGAAUUCCCGGUGUAGCGGUGAAAUGCGUAGAGAUCGGGAGGAACAUCAGUGGCGAAGGCGGCCAUCUGGGACAACACUGACGCUGAAGCACGAAAGCGUGGGGAGCAAACAGG
rnacentral:rRNA from 1 species